rnacentral:tRNA from 1 species
GCAAUGGUGGCUCAGUGGUAAAAUUCUCACCUUUCAUGUGAGAGACCCAGGUUCAAUUCCCCUCUAAUGCA